rnacentral:lncRNA from 1 species
AAGCAGAGCCUGUACAGGCCACAUCCUUGAAGGAUUUACUGCAAGCCUAGCUACUCCGCUGGGAGUGCCUUCCUUAAUGUCUGCUGCCUCCAAGGCUGCCCACACAGUCAGCCACGAUGGGGCACCGAUGCUCACCAGGGGCUACCAGGCGCUGAGAGGUGGGGGAAGAAGACCAAAUCCUAGAUCCCAGAAACUUACAAUCGGGCAGAAGAGUAUAGACAAACCAGGCGUGUCUCUCCUUUGUUCAAUGUGCCAGGGGGCAGGGACUCAUUUCCCAGCCCCAGUAUCUCCCACUGGCCAGGUUUUUGUCCUGUCCUGAGAUCUCCCAUGCAGUUCCAGGGAACUGUCAUUUUCCACUACACCAGCUGGAUAAUACUCAAGCAAAGGUGUAUGGGCAUAUGGUGUCUCUGGCUUUGGGCAUGGAAGAAGGAUUUGUGAUGGGCUAGUUUUUCUUCUUUGGCCUCCUUGCUUCUACCCAUUCCCCCUUCCACAUAGGCAUGUACACACUGGCUUACCUAGGUGGGUUUUUAUCUCUGGAUUUCCCAUGUUGAGAUGUCGUUUUGGGAGACAGCCGGCUCUGAAGUCAGACACACCAUGGUUGGAUCCUGGCAAUUCCUGACAUGCCUCUAUGAGCCUCGGUUUCCUCGACCAUGAAAGGAGAUAGUAAUAGCACUUGCUUCCCUGGGCUGUUGUGAAGAUUAAAUGAAGUUCAGCACAAGGCAAGGACUCCAUAAGUGAUACCAGUUUUACUUUUGUUUUGGCUCCACUCUGCCUGUCCUUAGCGCCCCCUGGCCACUAAACACAGAGUGAUGGGGAGAAAAGGAAUCAGAGCCCUACACUUCCUUCGGCUGUGCCAGUUAUUCCGGCCUAUGCUGCUGAAUUUGAAGCUAAACUCAGAAAUCUGCACUCUGUAAACAUAUCUAUGACUUUAACUAGAACCACUGGUGUUUCGGACCAGAAAUGGACUUAGUGAUCGUAGAUUCUGAUCUCCUCCAUUUGGAGUUGGUGGAAAAUGAGUGAGAGAACAUCCCUGCUUCCCUGCCAAAACCAGUGGUUUAAAUAAGGUACAAGUUUAUUUUUUCAUAUAAACAUUGGUAGCCUAGGGCUGAAAUGAUGGACCCAUGAUCAGCAAUGAACGAAGGCUCUAUCCAUUUUGUUGCCCUGUCCUCCUUAAUCCAAGAGUUCUACUUUGUGGUCCAGGGUGGCGGCUCUAGCUCCAGCCAUCAUAACUUCAGUCCAGCUCACAGGAAAGAGAAAAAGAAAAGAAAUUGGAAGAAGCAUUGCAUUUAAGAAUACAUCAUGAAAGUUACACAAGCCAUAUCAUAAGUACAUAAGGAUUUACACACCUAAGGAUGACACAAGUCAUAUCCUUUUAUAUUCUAUUGGUUAGAACUUUGUUAUAUACAUCCAUAGUUAACAGCGAGGGAACUCAGGGAAUGUAGUAUUUAUUCUGGUGGCUAUGUGCCCAAUCAAGAUUUGGAGGUUCUAUUAUGGAGGAAUGAAGGGAAAAUGCAUCUAAGGAGACCAUCAAAAGGCUCUGCCACACAGGUGACACAACUGCUUUACCCCCUCAAUCUGUGUUCUUUCUAUAGCAUUCGCAAGGUUUUUUUAAAAAUUAAAAAAAUGUUUUUUAAGAUGAAGUCCUGUUAUAUAUCGCCAAGUUGCUCUCCAACUCCUGGGCUCAAGCAAUCCUCCUACUUCAACCUCCUGAGUACUGGGACUACAGGUGCGCUACUGUGCCCAGCUACUUUUAUUCAUUUUUUGUUUUUUUAGAGACAGGGUUUCACUAUGUUGCCCAGGUUGGCCUUGAACUCCUGGCCUCAAGCAUUCCUCCUCCCUCAGUCUCCCAAGUAGCUGCGACUACAGGUGCAUGCCACUGAGUCCAACUGCAUUGCAAGUCUAGAUUAAAUUUCCCUUAGGUUCUUAAUAAAAUUUCUUGAAAAUUCUGAUCACAAAGAUGGCACCUGGCAAGUUCCCGACCCAGGCAAGUUGGCUGGAGCACAGGCAGAGAGCUUGCGGGAAUACAGUGGGGAGAGCACCCAGGCCACACUGAUGCCUCUGUCAGACUGGGCCCCUUAUGUUAAGGAAGACUGUGUCGAUCCUUGGAGGGCAGAGAAACCAUACUGUCCACCACUGAGGCAACAGGGAGAAAUGAGAUUGAGCUGUGCUAAGAGAAAAGAACGAGAGCUUCUGGGAAAACUCAGAUACUUGUAAAAAUUCCACCUAACCUGGGAUGUAAGGUGAUGUGCUGCUAAGAUGGGUGAGUAGCUCAAGCUUCAGCAGGCAGCCAAAGCAGUCCUAGUCCCCUAAAACAGUGCCCCAGAACUCUGGGCAAAGCCAUCGGAAGAGGGCCUGAACCCAGAAUUAAUAAAGCAGAGGGAUACGGAGACUUCAGUGUGUUUCAGGCUCUGAGACUUGGUAAGAACACAUGACAGAGAGGUGGGUGUGAGAGAGAAAAGGAGAAAGAGAGGAGAGAGAGAGAGAGAGAGAGAGAAAAAGAGGAAAGACAGAGGAGAGACAAGGAGAGACAGACAGUGGCAGGGGUGGGGUGAAGGGAGCGGGAGGGGAGACAUAGUAAGGAAAGAUAGAAGAGGAGAAAAAAAAAGAAGAAAUAGGAGAGAGAUAUGGUAUAAUCAGGCUGCUUUCAAUUGCAAGUGACAGUAAGCAACUAAAACUGGUUUAAGAAAAAAAAAUUAACAGAAAGAAUAGAAGCAGCAAAAAGGCUGCCAGCAACUCCAGACGUAUUCCUAUUUUCUCAGGAUCCCUGAAGGACAGGUGCUUUUCGUUUUUCCUUUUUCUAAUAGUUACAACCAAAGUUUUGGACUUGGAUUUCAUUGACACAGAUUGGCCAACUUUGAGUGUCCUGACCAGGAUAGGGGGAUGUCAGGACCAGCCAAACCAGAUGGAUUAAGAAAGGAGGAGAUUGGUUUCCCAAGGAAAAUCAGUAUGCUGUUACUAAAAGAAAGUGGAGUAGAUACUGGGCAGGUGAAAACAACAGAUCUCUACUAUACAUGAUGAGGAAAUCAGAGAGAGAGAGAGGGAGAGACAGAGAGAGAGAGGGAGAGACAGAGAGAGAGAGAGGUGGGAAGAGAGAGACAUGAGAGAGAUUAGAGAUGAAGAUGGGAAAGUUAUUAUAAAAGAGGAGAGAAUGAAAGAUGAAAGAAAAAAGCAUUUGAGAGAAAGUAGAAAAGAAAGAAAGGCAGAAAAAUAGAGAAAGAGGGAGAAAGGAAGGGAGAAGGAAAGGAAGGAAAGAAUAAAAGGAAAACGGGAAGAAGAAAGAGGGAAAAAGAAGGAAGAAGAGAAUGGAGAAAUAAUGGAAGGAAGAAAGAAGAAAGGGAGGGAGAGGUGUGUUUACCUGCAUGUGUGCAUGAGAAACACAGAUGAGUAACACAAGGUGUGGCAAGCCUCUGCUACAACUUAAUAUCAUGACCCAGGAUCUCCAAACAGACCAGAUUCUAGGAAGAGAUGAGGUCUUACUGAAGUUCCUACUCCCUUCCCUCUCUCCUGAGUGUGGUCCCAGCCUACAUCAUCCUUAUCUCACCUAUUUCCACCCCAGUGGUAUCCUGGAGCCUCUGGAUUCUCUUGGGAAAUUGUAGAAUUGUCUCCCCAGUGUCAUUGCCAUGCUUUGGUCCAGGAGCCCAGGGGCUUCAGUCUGCCAUGUGUUUUCAGCGUAUGGCUGCCUGAAAACACAUCUGUCAACCUUAGCAUUGGAGAACAAAAGCUUGGGUUUGACAUGAAAAGGACAGCAGAGAAGCAGCCUUGACCUAACUGCCAUGUGGCAUUCCUAAGUGCGCAGAGCCUCAGCCUGGAAGAUAUGCACAAUACUUGAAAGAAGCCUUUUAUCCAGGCAAGAGGGGAUAAACACAUCUGUAUGGCAUUGAUUUCCCCCUCCUCCUUUCUUUCUGGGAUUUGGAGCGGGGUUAGGGGGAGGAACAAUGAAAACAUUUGAAACAUCUGACACUGAGUUGGGGUUGUGGAUAGGCAGCAUUUGGGGGGAAAUGAAAGGUGAAAUGCCAAAUUUAGUUUGGCUCUUCUUUCUUUCUGGCGCCGUUUUUUUCCUCUUACAUUCAACCCAUAUUUUCCUUUUAGCACCAGUGGGGGUGGUGGAUCAUGUAACAUUCCUAUUUAGCACACACAUAGCUUGCCUUGUCUUGAAAGCGAAGCAUACACUGACAACGGAAACCUCACAACCUCCUGAGUGGGAGACAACCUUAGGAUUCUGGCUUCCAGGAUAUUUAUGUUGGUUACUGUUUAGUGUGCUGAACACCAGCCGGGAUCCCUUGACUCACAUCUGAAACGGGAUCGGAAUCUGAAGGCAUAAUUCCUCUGCUGGAAACACAAAGGUUGUAGGUAUACAAGAACACACAAUUAUAUUGAAGAAGAAAUAAGCCAUUUAUACAAGAGGGGACCAAGUAUACCCAUGUGUCAGGGAGAAAGGGUUUGAUACGUUAUGUUCUGGAAUGGAUUGGGCCGUUUUUCCUGAAGCUCACCACACAACCCACUAGGACAGUUUGGGCUCUGCUAUGGUCUCCCAGAUAUCCCAGGGAAAGGCUCAGUGAAGCUGCAGGCCAAAACCAGGUAAGAGAAAUCAUAAAAUGAAUCACCCAAGACUCAUGAUACCUGAUACCGUUUAUUUGGUUACAUGGUGUGGCAGACCUUGGUUCAAACUCCAGAUGUUUUAUCUAGUAGCAAGAUGGUCUUUGGAAAUUCAACCAACCUUUCUGAGUUUCAAAUUUUUAGUUUUCAAAAAUGAGGAUGUUGUGAGAUUUAAAAUACAAUAAUAUAUAGGUAAAAGGCUUGAUAUGGUAGAAACGUAGCAAAUUCUAAGUAACCUAUAUUAUUUCCUGCCAGUGUGUUCCCAACUAGGGUGUAAGCUUCCAGAGUGCAUAUAUACUAAUUUUUUGGAUUUCUAUAAUACUUUAACUUUAAUGCUUUGUAAGCUUACAUGGAAUUUUUUUAAUCAAAUGUACAUUGGUUUAUUAUAAAAUUUUUUCCCUACUAAGAUGGAUUUUAGAGUACCUUUUUGAGGAACUCUGCCUUGAACCCUGACCUUGAACUGAGGUCAAGAGUUUUUUAAGAAACCGUUUGAUUAAGAUAUAAAUCACAUACUAUAAAGUUCAGCCUUUAAAAGUGUACAUUUCAGUGGUUUUUAGAAUAUUCUUAGAGGUGUGCAUCCAUCACCACUAUCUAAAUCCAGAUAAUUUUCAUUAACCCAAAUAGAAACCCUAUACCCAUAUACCUAUUGGCAAUUUCUCCAUUCUCCCUUUCUCCCCUUGGAGGUGAGGCAACCACUGUUAUAUUGUCUGUCUCACCAUGUCUAUAGCUAUAUAAUGACCUAUGGAUCUGAAAUGGUGUCGACUCCCUCCAAAAUGCAUAUGAGUUAAGCGGAGGACAGAUGACACAGGAGAGGAAAAUCAGGAUAACAUUUAAGGAAAAAGAGCUGAAAUGGACACUGGGUGCCCAGAAAGACAGAUACUUUACUUCUUCUCCAUGUAAUGAUUCUCCCACAAACAUCUUUGAGGUUUAUGUUGCCCAGCAGAUAGCCACUAAUGAUAAUGUGGGUAUGGAGCAGCUGAAAUGGGACUACUCCAAAUUGAGUCCAAAUACACAUUGAAUUUUGAAGACUUAUUAUGAAAAAAGGGAUGUAAAAUACCUCAUUAAUACUUUUCUUAUAGUAAUUGCAUGUUAAAAUAAUAUUUUCAAUGUACUGUAUUGGGUUAAAUAAAAUAUAUUCUUCAGUGAAAUUCACCUAUCUCUUUUUAUUUUUUGUAAUGUGGCUACUAGAAAAUUUAAAGUUACAUUUGUGGUUCACAUUAUAUUUCUGUUGGAUAGUGAUUCUCUAGAUGCUUCUAGAUUUGUUUUUCAACUGCCUGUCUCUUGAGAUCAGGGGCUGUACAUUAUUUAUUAUUUUUUUCUUUAGUACAGGGCCUUGUACAUGCUAUGCACUUAACACAUAUUGUUGAAUGAAUAUUGUCUGCCCUUAAUGAUUCCUCAUUUCAAGUAAGAUGAAAGCAAACUUCCUUGACAAUCUGACUCCAACAUUGUAUUUCAAACUUCUAUCCAAAAGGAGGUUGGACCAUAUCUCCUGGGCUAUGUUUUGCUCAAAGAGGCCUCUAUACUCCUCCUUCCCAGUCCAGGCUGCAGAGACCAUGGAGCCCAGGGUACAGGAGGGAGAGGUGAGUGAAAGUGUGUGUGGAUGAGACAUGCUGUUUUGUGAAGAGUUGUUCAUCUCUUGAUGUUUAAGACCAUAGCUUAGAGAACUUUCAUUCUCUAAAGCUCUCUAGAUUUUUAAGAAAUUACUGAAGCAUUUCCCUUACUAAAUCCACUCAUUUGCUACAUGCAACUUGGACUUUCUGGAAACUUCUGAAGAUUCACAGAGUCCAUAAAUGUCCUUGUCCUCCCUUUGGCUUAAAUUAGUUCAUCUAUGUUUUGGUCACUUUCAGCAAGAUGAGUUACAAGAACCCAGUCAGGCCAGGUGUGGUGGCUCACGCCUGUAAUCCCAGCACUUUGGGAGGCCAAGGCAGGUGGAUCACGAGGUCAAGAGAUUGAGACCUUCCUGGUCAACAUGGUGAAACCCUGUGUCUACUAAAAAUACAAAAAUUAGCUGGACGUGGUGGCAUGCACCUGUAGUCCCAGCUACUCAGGAGGCUGAGGCAGGAGAAUCGUUUGAACCUGGGAGGUGAAGGUUGCAGUGAGCCGAGAUCACACCACUGCACUCCAGCCUGGUGACACAGCGAGACUCCAUUUCAAAAACGAAACAAAACAGAACAACAACAACAACAACAACAAAAAACCCAAAAAGAACCCAGUCAUCACAGAAUCUGUACAUGGCCUGUGGGUGGUAGAUGCUGGCCCUACACAUGAACGGUUCCAUGGUCCUCAUCCAUGACAGAGUAGGACCUAUGACCCAGAUCCUUUGGCAGUGAGUUCAGUGCUCUUUCUUCUUAUGCCAUGCUCGGCCAUGAGGAGAAAUCCUGAAGUUCUGCACAUUCUUUGAAAAAACACAGUGAUGGAAGUGAGACAGAUUGUGGGCACAGGGCCAUAGCCCUGUUGAAUCUGCACUUGUUCCACAAGGUUUGAGUUGUUCCCUCAGACUUUCAGAAAAUCAUUGUUGUGCUAAUGUUUCUUCUUGCUUUCUUUUAAGGAAAAGUGUUUGAGAAGAGUACAACACAGCCACCACCAUUUUUUCCUAGGUCAACAAGCACGCCUGUGUUCUGAUAAUUAAGAGUCCUAAUGAUACACAUCUAAUGGUAAAAAGUUCAGGGUUACUGACUUUAGUCAUGGCUGGAUCCAGGUGUUUAACAUGAUUUUAUCAGGAAGUUGCUUCUCUCUCUGCCUCUGCCUUCCUUGGCAUUGAAUUCAUUUUUAGGAUGUGUGGGGGUUUACUGUUGAGGUGGUCACUGGCAGCUCUAGGUUUAUGUUCUCACAAAUGAAUGACUCUUUCUUGAUCACACCAGCAGUACUUCUAGGAUUAUCUCUUAUUGGACCAAUUUAUGUCCCAUUUCUACUGCUGAGCCAUUUCAUCAGUUCAUUGUUAAACCAUUCAGACAAAAUACAUUGACUGCUUUCCAUGUUCCAGCAGCCACACACUUUUUAUGAGGAGCCUUCAAAUAUUAAAAUAAAGGAAUACUAGCAGUAUUUUUUAGGAAUAAUGUGUUUUUCAAGUUCAAUGCUAUAUUACAUUAAGCACUGUGAAGCCAGGCUGUGGGAACAAUAAAGCUUUUUUUGAUGAACCUCAAAAUUGCAAAUUGAGGUGGUGAAUGACAGUCAUCUCCUUUUCUCUGAGGAGCCCAAAUGUCAGAAUGCACCCAUGUCUGAGGUCAUCCUUCCUUUGAAAUACCUGCCACGAUGACUGCAGCUCCUGCAGGUUUCCCUCCCCAGGUGAGAGGUCCCGUGGGAAGAUGUCCGUUAUCUCUUUGAUGAGAUCAUGUAUGGAGGCCACAUCACAGAUGACGGGGAUUGCAAACUGUGUCGGGUGUAUUUAGAAGAAUUCAUGAAUCCAUCUCUGAAGCUAGCUGCCCUGUCAGGAACACAUGCAUGUGGUGAAAAACCGAGACUUCCAGCCAACAGCCAUGUGAGCGAGCCAUCUUGGAAGUGGAUCCUCCAGCCCCAGUCAAGCCUUCAGAUGACUGCAGCUUUGGCCAACAUCUUGACUGCAACUUCCUGAGAGACCCUGAGCAAGAAUCACACCAUGAAGAUGUUCCUAGUUUUCUGAUUCUCAGAAACUGGAGACAGGGUUUCAGCAUGUUUGCUAAGCUGGUCUCGAACUCCUGACCUCAAGUGAUCCACCCGCCUCAGCCUCCCAAAGUGGUGGGAUUACAGGUGUGAGCCACCGCACCUGGCCAGUUGCAUCUUGAAUGGUGAGCAGAGCUGGUCAAGCAGGCAAGUGGGUGAGGGGAAUGAGGAAGGGCAUUUCAGGAGAAGGAACAGCAUGUGUGAAGGCCUGGAAGUGAGACAGAUGGCAAGCAAAGGUGAGGGUGGGAAAGGGGCCAGAUGAUAUUGAGCUUCCUGCCAUGUGAAGAAGGACAUGUUUGCUUCCACUUCUGCCACGAUUGUAAGUUUCCUAAGGCCUCCCCAGCCAUGUGCAACUGUAAGUCAAUUCAAUCUCUUUCCUUUAUAAAUUACCCAAUCUCUGGUUUGUCCUUAUAGCAGUGUGAGAAUGGACUAAUACAGGGUCUGUGUUGGACAGGAAGGACAUGAAGAGAGGAAGGGCUGGUGGAGAGAAUGCAGAGUAGUCAUAAGACACGAGCCUCCUCUGAUGGUCGACUUUGCCUUGAGAACUCAGAUGACCUUGCCAGAAUCUUCUUAGAUAGCUUGGAACUCUAGAACAUUUCUACUCACCCUUCUUCCUUCUCCCAUUCACUCAAGGCCAGACCUGCAAUGUGAUCUGACAACUCCCAGCCUUACAAGGUUCUCUUCCAAUUUUCUCUCACAGGGAUUUUCCCUAAUAAAAUCAUCACACAUUUAAUCCUGCCUUAAUGACUGCUUGUUGGAGGACCCAGACUAACACAGCAAGUCAAGUGGGAGGGAUGUGGUGGCUAGGACACUUAUCGUACUGAGCAAAACCUGCCUCAGGGAGUGGCAGCUCUGAGAAAAUGCAGGAAAGCAAACCAAACCACUGGUUACUAAGAGCAAAGAUGUGAGAUGUUGUGAGAGUUUACACAGCAAUAAUGAUGUGCUGGGUGGGAUCCGUUCAUUACCUCUGGAGGUCCCUGCUUUAUAGAUCGGAACCUGGGGCUCAGUGAAAUUAAGCACCUGGACGACAAUCCUGUAGCUGCCAGGUGAGGAGUCCUCAGGUGAAAACUCAGGACCCUCUGGGCUCCAACUUUUUGCUCUUUCUGUUGUAUCAGUGGCAGAAAGAGCUGCCCUCGGCGGGACAGGCUUCUCAGUAUGAAGAAGCAACCAGGAGUCUUGACUGGCACCUGUCGAGUGGCAUUUAGAUGCACUGGUGUCCAUAAAUAUCUCCAGAUAUAAGUAGUUACCCUUUAUGCCACUCCUGCUAAAGUGACCACUGAGCACUUAAAACUGGUUUUACUAAGGCCCUUAACUCAGGUCAAGAUCAGAGUUAACAGAUGCUGUCAUGGGCCAGAUCAAAGUCUUGAUCAAAUGGCUGAUUGGUAGAAACAUUAAGGCCUACUGCCAGUGAAAGAUUAUCUUUCUCUCUUUAAUCUCAUUCAACUAGGCAAGUCAGCUCAACUUGGAACAUAUAUCCAGAAUCUGCCUGCUUCUAUCUGUUGCCAUUGUCCAUGUCACCAUCUCCUCUUGCCUGCAGUGAGACCAGUUAGUGGCCUUCUAACUGGUCUCUCUGCUUCUGUUCAGCCUCUUCCAGCUGAUUCUCCACAUACAACCAAAGUGAUUGCCCUAAAAGUAAAAUCAGAUCACAUUCCUUCCCUACUUUAAACCUUCAAGUGGCUUCUCAUUACUCCUGGAAGAGAUUCAUGCUCCUUCUCGUAGCUCAUGUGAAUUUCUUUGACCAGGCUUCUGCCCCUCACUUUUCAGCCCGCCCAGCCGAAUCUCCUCCUCUGCUCUGGCCACCUGGAUGUCUGUAUGUUUCUGGAAAGGCCAGGUUCUUCUCCACUCUGCACUCUUUGCACUGGCCAUUCUGCUUACCUGGAAUAUUCUUUCCCACCUUUGCCUGCCUUGUCUCUCCCAUUAUUCAGUGUCUCCAUGACCACACAAUCUGAAGCUGAUUCCCCUCUUACCCACAGUGCUUUCACACAAUCCUGCUUUAUUUGCUUUAGAGCAAAGUAAGAAGUUACAUGAUCUCCUUCUUCACGUGCUUUUUGUCUGUCUCUUCCCAUUAGAACAUCACUUUCAUGGGAGUGGCCUGCUAUCUGCCUUAUUUGAUUCUGUAUCUUGGCACUGACAACAGUACUGGGCACAUAGUAGGUGCUCAAAAAAGAUUUGCUGGCUGGAUACAGAUCAAUCAGCAAUGAAAGUAGAGCAUGUCUGAAUGAAUAUGGAAGUCAAUGGAGAAAAGAUGAUCCAAGCACUUAUGUUACAUGCAAUGACAUAUUUUAAAUCUACUUACUCUUAGAAGAAAUCUACUUUCUCUUUCCAUAAAUUUGAGCUUGAGGAAGCAAUUCAUUAAAAAUAUGUGAAGGGUUGAUUUAAGGUUGGGAGGACUUGUUGGAUAUGUCUGCAGUCAGGUUUAUAUCAGGAAAAACAGAAGGGAAAGGAAGUAACAUUUAGUAGAGACCUACCAGACCCUGGGACUGGGGUGGGGUCAUAAACACAAAAACAAAUGAUACUUAUUGUUGGCUUACUUGGUGGUACUGUACCUGCUACACAUGUGACAUUCCUUAUGUCAACUGAUCUUCACAAUGAUUCUACAAAGUUGGCACUGUCAUGGGCCACAUUGUCCAGAAAAGGAAUUGAGUCCCCUUUUGUAAGAACUUGCUUCAAGGAACCACAGCUAGUAAUGACUGGAGCUGGGGUUUGAACCCUGGUCUCUGAUUUCAAAGCUCCCCAUCAUAUAACCUUAUAUAAAAUGUGCACAGCUACCACUCACUGUGGGUUUACAGGGCCAGGGCCAGGCCCAAUACUAAGGCUUUAGGUAAAGGUAUGUUCAUCAAACCAGGAUUAAAACCCCAAAGCCUGUGCUUCUUACCUCAGGCCACUCCAUCUGUUGAAUAGCUUUGACCAUUCUUUGCCUUUGGUUUCUGGUUUGCACUCCUGGCAGCAGAUGCCAAUGCAAUUGUGUGACUGCCUUAUCUGCUGCCAACAAACCAAAGGCCUGGGAAGGUUUUUGCCAAUUCAUGUGGGUGUGAAAUUUGUUGCUCAGCAUUGGAAUAAUACCUGCCAUUUGCAAGGAUACCUUAGAUGUUUAUUGCCAGCCCACUCACUUUCUGAUGUUUGCAGCAGAGUACAAGGGUUGUGUUGUGGGUCUUGAAGUAAGACCAUUCUUAACAUACAACUAGGUUCAAAUCCUGGCUCUAUCACUCAUCAGCUGUGUUACAAGGACUAUAGAAGGCUUUGUUUCCGUAUCUGUGUGUGCAGAAAACAGCAGUUGCCUACCUCAUAGCUUGCGAUUUAUUGUAAUAAUAUAUUCCACAUGUGCCUGUACCUGCCUCUCAGAAAGCAUUAGUUACUGGUGAUCUUUUUUUAUUAUUACUGUAUUGAACUUAAGGACUGUCCUGAGCCAGACUGUCAGAGAGGACUGAGGUAUCUGGGGAGGUAUCUGGGGAGGUAUCUGUAGUCUGACUACAUGGGGCAGCUUCAGAUUAAUAAGAACAAGAUUCUGCCUGCUAACAAUUUCUACAUCUAUUAAGAGCAGUAAUAAACCUCUUUUGUGGGUAUAAAAUUUGCAUGAAAACACCUAUAAG